AUUGAACGCUGGCGGCAGGCCUAACACAUGCAAGUCGAGCGAGGUUUUCGGACCUAGCGGCGGACGGGUGAGUAAUGCGUAGGAAGCUACCCGAUAGAGGGGGAUACCAGUUGGAAACGACUGUUAAUACCGCAUAAUGUCUACGGACCAAAGUGUGGGACCUUCGGGCCACAUGCUAUCGGAUGUGCCUACGUGGGAUUAGCUAGUUGGUGAGGUAAUGGCUCACCAAGGCGACGAUCCCUAGCUGGUUUGAGAGGAUGAUCAGCCACACUGGAACUGAGACACGGUCCAGACUCCUACGGGAGGCAGCAGUGGGGAAUAUUGGACAAUGGGCGCAAGCCUGAUCCAGCCAUGCCGCGUGUGUGAAGAAGGCCUUCGGGUUGUAAAGCACUUUCAGUAAGGAGGAAGCGUUGAGUGUUAAUAGUACUCAGCGUUGACGUUACUUACAGAAGAAGCACCGGCUAACUCUGUGCCAGCCGCCGCCGUAAAAC
rnacentral:rRNA from 1 species